UACGGAGGGUGCAAGCGUUAUCCGGAUUCACUGGGUUUAAAGGGUGCGUAGGUGGGGAGGUAAGUCAGCGGUGAAAUCCCCGAGCUUAACUUGGGAACUGCCAUUGAUACUAUCUCUCUUGAAUACCUUGGAGGUGAGCGGAAUAUGUCAUGUAGCGGUGAAAUGCUUAGAUAUGACAUAGAACACCAAUUGCGAAGGCAGCUCACUAACACGGUCAUUGACACUGAGGCACGAAAGCGUGGGGAUCAAACAGGAAUUAGAAACCCCGUAGGU
rnacentral:rRNA from 1 species